AGCAUGGGGUCCUGAUCUUCCUGUCAUAACAUACAUUACUUACCAUUUCCCCAGGGCCUCCUCUGGGCUCCUGGUCUUCGAGUCUCAUAACCGUGCCAAGCCGUAGAAUGGGGUCCUGAUUUUUCCUUACAUAGUGCCAGGCCGUAGCAUGGGGUCCUGGUCUUCCUGUCAUGGACUAAUUGGGUCAUCCAAUAUUCACCCACAUCAACAACAAUCGAUGCAAUGCGGCAUAUUCGUGGAAACUAAUGCAAUCAUCCUAUUGCACAACCAUGAUGCAUGAAACAUGAUAAAACAUUUAAUUUAAAAN
rnacentral:lncRNA from 1 species